rnacentral:rRNA from 1 species
CCAGACUCCUACGGGAGGCAGCAGUGAGGAAUAUUGCGCAAUGGGGGCAACCCUGACGCAGCAACGCCGCGUGAGUGAGGAAGGUUUUCGGAUUGUAAAGCUCUGUCGAGCGGAAAGAAGUGCAUGGUGGUUAAUAUCCAUCAUGCUUGACGGUACCGCUAAAGGAAGCACCGGCUAACUCCGUGCCAGCAGCCGCGGUAAUACGGGGGGUGCAAGCGUUGUUCGGAAUCAUUGGGCGUAAAGCGCGUGUAGGCGGCUGGACAAGUCAGAUGUGAAAGCCCUGGGCUUAACCCAGGAAGUGCAUUUGAAACUGUUCAGCUAGAGUAAGGGAGAGGAAAGUGGAAUUCCUGGUGUAGAGGUGAAAUUCGUAGAUAUCAGGAGGAACACCGGUGGCGAAGGCGACUUUCUGGCCCUAUACUGACGCUGAGACGCGAAAGCGUGGGUAGCAAACAGGAUUAGAUACCCUGGUAGUCCACGCUGUAAGCGAUGUUCACUAGGUGUUGGGGGUAUUGACCCUUCCAGUGCCGCAGCUAACGCAUUAAGUGAA